AACAAAAGAGCCUGAGGAGAUUGUUGAAAACAGUUAUGGUGAUGGCAGUAGCAGUGUUGUAGAUCAAUUUCCGUCCUUACAAAAGUACAUAAGACCUUCAUUGGACAAGGGUGCUGAGUUAAUUACUAGUGAUGAACUUGUCUCUAGUGGCAUCGAAUGGGAACCCCAGGGUGAGUUAUAUUGUUAA